CACAGGCUGCAAGCCAGUCUGAGUACAAGAACCAGAAGCCAACAACAAAGCAUCUAUGUAGCGCAAAUUUCCCGACCCAUACAAUAUUACUGAACAUAAAAUAGUCAUUCCUAUUAUAAAAGAAUCUUGAACAAAGUUAGGCUUGAAAAGAAGUUUUUCACAUACAAUGGUAUUCAAGGAACCGGAACCGUUUGUAGAAAAACCCGAUAACUGCAUGAUAAAAUCUGUAUAAUAUUUUCCU